CUGACGGAAAUCAGGGCUGCUCAGACGUCGGACCGCAGCGGCGGCGACAACAGAGAGAGGAGGAAGCCGAGGAGAGGAAGACGGCAGGGGUGGGCAAAGCAGGAUAGGGAAGGACGCCUGAUAGCGGACGUAUAUUGGUUCCUCCUUGCCAACCCGGAACCGUGGCAGAGCCUGACAGAUACAUACGCUGCAAAGACAGGGUCGGAAGGGAGGGGGUCUAUCAUCUGCUCCAGCUGCAAGAGGGGAGAAAAGGCAGCAACUACUGAUGCUGCUGUGCUAGCGAGGCUGCCCGGUCCACUGAAACAGCUAAAACCCCAGGCGAAAAAGCGGAGACCAGAUAGUGUUGAUGUGGAUACUUUGGGCAGCCUGGAGAUAAAGUGGAUGUCAAUACAGCUAUGUAAGCUACAGUUCUGCAAAGCUUCAGAAAUCCUAUAUAAUGGAGGAAAUAUAUAAGGAUACACAAAACCUACCCAUGGAUGUUACCACUUCACCUUCUGCUAUUGCUAACAACAAAUUAGAAAGUGGUGUAGCCCAGCUGAUAACAGCCGAAGCCUGGAAUAUCAAUUCGUCAGAUCUGAUGAAGAAAGCACUUUCACCACUUGUAACUGUGCCUGCUCCAUCAAUAUUAACACCACCAGCAGAAUCCCAGAGUGGAGUUGCUCUCAAAGUAGCUGCCACAGUGCUUCAGCCAAUUUGUUUAGGAGACAGUCCUGUGGUUCUCCCAAUACAUUUGCAAGUAGCAGGAAGCACCACUCCUCAGAUUGCUCCCAAUAGUAAUACUCCAUAUGUUAUGACCACCCAAGGCCCAGUCCCAUUGCCUGUUCUUUUAGAACAGCAUGUAUUUCAGCAUUUAAAUUCUCCAUUAGUAUUACCUCAGAAUUCACCAUGUGCUCCCAGUUCCAUUCACAGCAAUCUGUUUCAAAAUUCUGCUACUCCUAUUGGACAACCCGAAUUGUUGGAUCAAAAACCUUCCAAUCCAACUCAAGAUUCUGUCCUGCCCCCUGUAUUUCAAACACCAGGAUUUGCUGCUGUGUUACAAGACCUCUUUCCUACUCAAGGAGCUUUGAGCUAUUUACCUUAUCAGCCAUCUCCAGAAUGUCCUCUCCCAUCUCAGCCCUUCAGUUCUCCUUUGUCUCCAUUGGUUCCCCCAGCAACCUUAUUGGUGCCAUAUCCUGUGAUUGUGCCUUUGCCAGUCCCUGUCCCUAUUCCCAUUCCCAUCCCAGUUCCUCAUGGCGUUGAAUCUAAGGUUAACUUAGAUUACUCCAAACCAGCUGCUUCCUUUGUUUUGCAUUCAUGCAAAGGUACCCAGACUCCUUUGGAGAAGGAAGAAACUAAACUGUGUGAUUUUACCCACCCCAGAGGACUAUCUCAGUUGAAUCGGCACACUGUCAUUAAGAUGGGUAAUGAAAAUGAAGUCCUUGAUCUUUCUAUGAAAACAGCGCCUUUCCUUAAGGAAGCCUAUGUUAGUUGCCAGAAUGCCCCCAAUGAUAGUGCUUUGGAUUUGUCAAUUACUUCUUUUCAGAAGUUGAACAGUAUUGAGACAACAAACUUGAAUUGUUCUGGGACCACAAUGGAUGGAACUUCUCAUUCAGUGGCAGAUAAACCUCAUAAGAUCCCAACCAAGGCUGAAAACAGAGUGAUUAGUUCCAGCUCGUCUGAACUCCUAAGACAACAGUCCAAAUGGCUGGUGGAUCAGAAUAGUAUUGCAACUUCUGAACCCACAACUGGCAAUAAUAUAGAAAUUGUGAGUACUUCACAGACAGCCAAAGUGAUAGUUUCUGUCAAAGAUGCAGUGCCAACUAUUUUCUGUGGCAAAAUUAAAGGUCUCUCAGGGGUUUCCACUAAAAACUUUUCCUUCAAAAGGGACAUGCCUCAGGACUCAGGGCUGCAAUGUUAUGAUGUGAAGAAUCAGCCUGAAGUCCAGGAUAAUGCAGAAGCUCUUAGAAAACCUAUCAAAAACAGGAGUGUCAAGUUAAAGAAAAUGAACUCGCAAGAAAUACACAUUCUUCCUAUUAAAAAGCAGCGACUUGCAGCCUUUUUUCCAAGAAAAUAAUUUAUGAAGUUUUAGAAUGUUUUAAGGUAUAAUUAUGAGUACUGUAAAGAGACUGCACUUCAUUUUAAAUUACAUUCAAACUUUAAACUAUAUUUAAGUUAUUUCAAGAUGGAGGUUUAAAGAGUGGGUGGGGUAGAGAAGACAGAAGAAUAUAUCUUGAUAUAUCUUUCCAAUGCAAUGCUUCCAUCAUCAGCAUGUUUUGUUCCAACUUUUCUUUAAAGUAAAUAAAAAGCAGCAUAUUUUUCAAGUGGAUCACACAUUUUCAGCUUUAAUGGAAUAUAAUGAAUGAGCAAGUCAGAGGAGUAAGAGCUUUUUUCACUGCCAUAAAGUGCUUUGAUGAUGUAAUUCUGAACAGUCUUCUUGGUGGGAUAGGAAUUUGGGAGAUUAUGAACAUAACUCAUGGUAUGUUAACUUCUGACACCUGGAGGAUUGAAUUCGUUGUGCAUUAAAGAGGAACAUGACAUAAUUGGAAAUUUCAUCCAAGAGGUGUCGCCCCAUAUCAGUUUUGGACCUGGAGAUUCACCCCCACAGGAAACCAACUGCAGAUAAACCAGCCAGGAGACCUUUGGGAUGCCAAGCCCAGGUGAAAAAAGCUGAGGCGCCAGGCUGCAGAAUGCUUGGCCCCGGCCCCGGUUCCCUCAGUUCGACCUCCAGCCACUGCUGUGGCGAAGAGGACCCUGCAGAAGCCGCCCAACAAAUGAGAGUUUGCCAGAUAGGCUGUGGAAGUUCCACUCCUCCCAAAUGAAGCCAAGAAAACUCCAGCCAAUGAAUCUCCUCCGGGCCCCAUAGGGAAAGCAGCGGUGACGAUGACCCGAUGGUAAGUGCAGCCAUCCGUCCGUUUACCAUCAAAACCAAGAUAACUGUACCAGAGAUAGGGGUCCAGGGGGAAGUAGGAGCCAUCAUAGACAAGGGCUGCACUCGAUGCUUAAUCAGCCUUUCCAUAGUUGAACAGUUAGGCAUAUGCAUGAGACCCCUAGCAUGCCCCAGCCGCUUUGAGGAAGUGGAUUAAUUGGUGGGACCCCUGCCAUGCUAGUCACCAAGUUUGUCAGACUAGAAAUGGGCCACCAUCGAAAGCUCAUCCAGUUUAUUGUAGCCCCCAAAAUUACUGAGUUGAUCAUACUAGGCCUUGCAUGGCUAGACAAGUGGGGUCCAACUAUGACCUGGGAAGAUAGCUAUAGAAAGCUAAACAUCGGCAUUGGGCCGCUGCCACACGUACAGCUGGACCCUCACCAAGGAACUCCACUCCCUAACAAUUCAAAAGAGCCUGAAACAACAGCCCCUGCCAAUGACGAUCUACACGGCAACCAAAAAAUGCCAAAGGAAUACAAAGACUUAGUGGGGGUUUUCAGCGAGGAAGACUGCAAUUUCCCCUCCCCUCAUCGCCCAACUGAUUGUGCAAUAGAGUUUGUGCCAGGGGCUAAACUACCCAAAUCUAAGAUGUACUCCAUGACUGCUAAACAGAUGGAGGAAAUGAGAAAAUACAUUGAUGCCAAUUUAGCGAGGGGUUUCAUUCAGCCUGCUAAAGCCAAAGUAGCAGCCCCAGUGCUCUUCAAAGAGAAAGAAGAUGGGGGGGAGGCUUUGUGUUGAUUUUUGUGGAAUUAAUGCCGUUUGCAUGGAGAACACCUACCCCCUACCCCUCAUGAAGGUAAAGAUAAAGGUUCCCCUCGCACAUACGUGCUAGUCGUUCCCGACUCUAGGGGGCGGUGCUCAUCUCUGUUUCAAAGCCAAAGAGCCAGCGCUGUCCGAAGAUGUCUCCGUGGUCAUGUGGCCGGCAUGACUCAACACCAAAGGCACAUGGAACGCUGUUACUUUUCCACCAAAGGUGGUCCCUAUUUUUUCUAUUUGCAUUUUUUACAUGCUGCUAGGUUGGCAGAAGCUGGGACAAGUAACGGGAGCUCACCCAUUACACGGCAGCAUUAGGGAUUCGAACCGCUGAACUACCGACCUUUCGAUUGACAAGCUCAGAAUCUUAGCCCCUGAGAUACCGCGUUCCUCACCCCUCAUGAAGGACAUGCUAAAUCACUUAUCGAAAGGCAAGAUGAUCACAAAAUUGGAUUUAAGGGAAGAAUACUACCGCAUAAGGAUCAGAGAGGGAGAUGAGUAGAAGACUGCAUUCAACUGUCCUGUUCUGUUUCCCUCCCCCAAUACUCCCAACAAAGAGUCAGUCAAAGGCCUUCUCUUCUAAUUUAUUUACAUAGAUAAAUGUCCUGGCCACGUCUACCCACGGGCCUGCUAAGUCUCUGGAGAUAAUGAGGAAAUUAUAGAUAAGGCCAGAAUUACUCACGAAUAUAUUCUUCCCUCCAUUGAUACAGUUUGCCCGCACAAAUUCACUGCUUUGUCCAAGACAAAAAACCAGGAAGUCCCGCCUCCUUUUUAUAGUCUCUGCAGAUGUCACUGCAUGACCAUCAUUCUUUGGCUUUGUCCCAACACUUCCUCUGCUGCACGCGCCGGUCACGUCUGAGCAGUCUUGCAUCACUCCAAAACUGUUCUUGGGGCGUUGCCAAAUCAGAAGAAGGCUUGGGAGAAUCAGGCCUUGCCGGCCCCUCCUCCUCCCUUUGGGUGGGUGCCAGGGAGGGAGAGGGCCCAAGAGAAGCAGGCCUUGCCAGGUCUUCUCCCUCACUUUCUGAAUCAUCCGAGUCCAGGAGUCCGGGUCCAGGAACCUGGGUCACAACAUGUCCCCUCGGUAGCUUCCAAUUCAAAGUCAUGCCGUUCGGAUUGCAAUGGGCCCGGCAAUCUUCAGGCAGUUAAUCAAUGAAGUGCUGCAUGAGCACCUGUACCAAGGGAUCCUCGUUUACCUGUCUGACAGUCUCAUAUUUAUUGAGACCCUUGAGGAACACGUAAAGCUGGUAUGGCAAGUAUUGAAAAAACUCCUUGCCCCCAAGCUCUACACAAAGCUGUUCAAGUGUGAAUUCCAUAAAAUUUCCCUAGAUUAUCUAGGCUAUCCAAUCUCUAGCGAGGGGGUAGAAAUGGAUCCAGGAAAAGUGAAAGCAGUGCUCAACUGGCAGCCCCCACGCACUCGUAGACAACGUCAAAGCUUCCUGGGAUUCGCCAACUUUUACAGGCAAUUCAUCCCAGCUUUUGCAGAGGUCACCCUACCCGUAACUGAACUGCUGAAAAUGGGAUUUACCCCAAUGAACCAAAAGCCCAACCAACUACUUGCUUGGACAAUGGACUGCCAAAAAGCCUUUGAAAAGUUAAAAAGUCUUUUCACCCAGGAACCUAUUCUUCAACAUCCAGACCCGGAGCAGCAAUUUAUAAUAUAAGCUGAUGCCAGCAACAUAGCCAUGGCAGCGGUGCUCCUGCAAAUGGACAGCAAAGGACAACUCCUGCCUUGUGCCUACGUGUCAAAAAAAACUCACUGACACUGAAAGACGAUGGGCCAUUUGGGAAAAAGAAUCCUACGCAGUCCGCUGGGCCCUACUCUCAUGGAGACAUUUCCUAGAAGGGGGGAAAGUGCCUUUCGAGGUCUGGAUUGAUCAAAAAAACCUCAAAACCUUGAAGACCCCCAGGAAACUAUCUCCCAAACAAAUCCGCUGGGCAUAGUACUUUAGAUGAUUCAAAUUCGAGCUAAAGUACAUACCAGCAGGAAAAAACCUGUUAUCAAAUGCCUUGUCAAGAAAACCACAGUUUGACAGCCACCAAGAGGAAGUAGUCCACGCCAUCAUUCCUCCCGUGAAACCGGCAGCACAAAUCACUAUCAGAAGCCAGACCAGGGGGCCACCCGACCCCAGCCGGGACAAACUGACAGCCAUGCUGAAGGCUAUGUUACCAGCAGAGCCCUGGCUCACUGACAAUGAAGAUGUUUUACCUAUGAGGGAUGAACUAGCAUGGAAAGACUCUAAGCUAUACAUCCCUGCGAGGUUAAGACUGGAAGUAUUACAGCGCAGUCAUGACUUGAAGCUAGUUGGUCACUUUGGAUUUUUGAAAACAUUGCACCUUGCUAGAAGGCAAUUCUGGUGGCCAAAAAUGAAAGCAGAUGUGGAAGAUUACAUAAAGAGCUGUGCCACCUAUGCAGCCAUGAAAAUGAAGCUAGUAAAGCCCCGUGGACUCCUUCAGCAAGUGGCAAGCCCCAGCAAACCUUGGGAGGAAAUCACAAUGGAUUUUAUAGUUGAACUCCCAGAGAGUGGGGGAAACACAAUAAUCUGGACAGUCAUUGACAUAUUUUCCAAGCAAGCCCAUUCUACUGCUUGCUCUGGAUUGCCUUCCCUGAACAAACUGUCAAAGCUGUUCAUCAAACACAUCUACCGCCUACAUGGAAUACCCCGCUGAAUCAUCUCAGAUCGAGGCAUACAGUUUACAGCCAAGUUCCAGAGGGAGUUCUUGAGAUCCAUCGUGUCAACACAGGGGCUUAGCUCGGCUUUCCAUACAAGUACAAAUAGCAUGGCGGAAUGAGCGAACGCAAUGAUGGAACAGUAUAUAAAAUGUUAUGUGGAUUACCAAUAAGAGAACUGAGCGGAUCUAUUACUGUUUGUAAUAGAAGUGGCUUUACUGAUGUGGCGUACAACAACACUGUGCAUAGCAGUACCAGACAGUACCAAACUGACCCCUUUUCAAGUUACCAAUGGCAUGGAAUUUGUCCCCAUGCCCGAACUGCUCAGAGAACCUCCCUCUUGUGUGUCUUUGACAGAAUGGAUGAAGUCUCUGAAAAAGGGGUGGGAGAAUACUAAAAAAGCACUGGCAGAGGCGGCAAACGAAUACAAAAAAUAGGCAGACAAACACCAUUCCCUAGAACCCCCCUUCCAUGUGGGAGAUAAAGUAUUUCUAUCAGGGGUGAAAUGUAAAAAUUUUCCCUACCGGUUCUGUGGGCGUGGCUUAAUUGGUGGGCGUGGCUUGGUGGUCAGGUGACCCGGUUGACGUGGCUUGGUGGUCAGGUGACUGGGUGGGCAUGGCCAAUAAUAAUAAAUAAUAAAAAUAAUAAACAAAGUACACAAAACAAUAAGAGGUACCAAAAACCAACUUUCACACUUUACACACACACAAUACAACACAACUGACUCAAACACAAUGUAAAAGCAGCUGCACUUCACCCAAAAUGGCCCUUGCAACAAGCAGGAACCUCACAGAGGCACAAAAAGCUCAAAAACCAACUUUCACACUUUUUCCACACAAAAUGCCAUCUACAGCUUUGUGAGAUUUUGUGUGUUUGUGUAGUUAGAGUGAAACACUACAAAAACACACCAAAUCUCAGAAAGCUGCACAAAUAUUUUAUUUUAUUAUUUUAUUUUAUUUUAUUUUAUUUAUAUUUUUAGAUAAAAGCAGCUAAAUUUAAAACUUCCUUAACUUUAAAUUUCUGUCUUAAAAAAAAGUAAAACUCCUAAAAAUCCCCAAUUAACUAUUUUUUUAAAGCUUCCCCCCCACAAAAAAACCCAGUUACUUACCCAAUUGAAGGGACAAGGCAGGCAGAUUGAGUUGCUCACCAAUGAGAUGGAUUGCAGGUAGGCAGAUUGAGUUGCUAGCUGAUGCAAUUGAUUGUAGCAGCCAAAGCAAGGCAGGAAAAGCAAGCAAGCCCGAAAGAAGCAGCAAGCUGCCAAAUAGGCAAGUUGGGACCGGGCAAUUGCGUGGGCAUGCAUGGGGGCGUGGGGCAGGGAUUUUUGUUACUGGUUCUCCGAACCACCCGCCCCCAUCGCUACCGGAUCGCUUGAUCUGGUCCAAACAGGCAGCAUUUCACCCCUGGUUUCUAUCCACCAAAUACAUAUGGUUGAGACUGCCUAGCAAGAAGUUGGGACUCAAGUUUCUAGGCCCCUUUCCAAUAGUGAAAAUAAUUAACCCAGUGACAAUCCAUCUUAGCCUCCCCGCAUUCUAGGGAAAAUUCAACGUGUGUUUCAUUGUAGCUUACUGAAAUCAGCCUUUUGGUUUAGAUUAAGACCUCGGACUCAACCACCACCUCCUACUAUAGUGGUACAAGGGGAAACACAUUAUGAGGUGGGAAAAAAAUUAGAUUCUAGAUUAUACAGAGGUCAAUUACAGUAUUUAGUUCAUUGGAAAAGAUACCCUUUGUCUGAAGCUACUUGGGUUAAGAGUUGGAAUGUGAAGGCAAAUAGAUUGAUUAAGCAAUUCCAUGAUGGAUAUCCUGAUAAGCCAAAGGGUCCCCCGGGGGGGAGGGUGUUAAGUGAAUGAUUUUAACCUCUUGUGUUAUUCUCGUUCCAGGACAUGCUUUUCUGAUGAGGGGCGGGGUGGACUGUCAAACCUGGAAGCCAUUUUUUACAUUUGGCCCUUCAGGCCUGCCACAUAUUCUUCUGUGGGUAAAUGGGAGGGGGGAUUGCAUAAAGUAUGGGUGUCAAAAUAACAUUCCUUUCUCAGAGAGUCAAGGACACAUUGCCCUGGCACCUGGAGUCGGAUGAUUGGGAGAUGUCUCCAGUUUGGACGGUGGAUAAUUGGACCAUGUGAUGGACAUUGAACUUUCACUUGGGUGGGGAAAACCUGGAAACUUUCAGAUUUGGGUUUUCCCAGAUGUACCAAUAUGACAUCUUCAAUAGAAAGGAACUUUGAGGAAACUCAAGCCUUGGAGUCUUCUUUCGUUGGGGGUGUUACUUGGAACCCUGACAGUGUCAUUCUUCAGUGUUGUCACAUGAAAAGAUAUACUUAAAUAUUUACAAAAUAUGAGGGAGUGUACUCACUUCUGUGAUAUACAGUAUAACAUUAACAAUUCUGAUAUCAUUAGUUUUACCAUUGAUGAUUUUGAAGCAUUAUUUGAUAAUAUGGAUGUGGUACCAAUUUCUACCGUAAUUCAUGUAUUUUUUGUUAACUACCCAUUUGACAUUUUUAUUUAUUUAUUUAUUUAUUUAUUUAUCAAACUUAUAUACCGCACCAUUUCCCGUAGGACUCAGGGCGGUUCACAGGCAUAUUAAAAGCAAUAUAAUAAAUAAGCAUUAAAACCCAGUUAAAACUAAAUAUUAUCCUGGCCUGAUCACUAAAACAAUAAAAACCAGUAAAACCCCCAUUAAAAUUUAACUAAAACAUUUUAUUCUUAGGCUAGUCCCGCAUGCUGGAAUAAUAAAGUCUUCAGUUCCCGUCUGAAGGUCCGGAGGUCGGGGAGUUGUCGUAAUCCCGGAGGAAGCUCGUUCCACAGGGCUGGUGCCGCCACAGAGAAGGCCCUCCCCCUGGGGGUCGCCAACCUGCAUUGUUUGGUCGACGGCACCCUGAGGAGGCCCACUCUGUGGGAGCGCACAGGUCGUUGGGAGGCAAUCAGCGGCAGAAGGCGGUCUCGAAGGUAUCCCGGUCCUAAGCCAUGGAGCGCUUUAAAGAUGGUAACCAAAACCUUGAAUUGCACCCGGAAGACUACCGGUAGCCAGUGUAGGCCGCGCAGGAUAGGUGUUAUAUGGGAGCAACACGGUGCUCCCUCUAUCACCCGCGCGGCCACGUUCUGGACUAACUGGAGCCUCCGGUGCUCUUCAAGGGGAGCCCCAUGUAGAGAGCAUUGCAAUAGUCCAGGCGGGAAGUGUCGAGGGCGUGAGUGACCGUGCGUAAGGCAUCCUGGUCAAGGAAGGGGCGCAACUGGCGGAUCAGGUGGACCUGAUAAAAAGCUCCCCUGGCGACGGCUGUCAAAUGUUCCUCUAAGGACAGCCGAUCAUCCAGGAGAAUGAUCUCUACUAUCUCUACUACUCUCUAUCCUAGUUAUACUCAGUACCUUUGGUGCAUUGUUUACUCUAGAUAAUGUGAGAAUACUGAGCAGUCCCAAUAUCUUAAUUCCCAGAAAUCUGAAAGCUUACAGAAUCUACUGUUCCAUUUGCCAUUCCUUGGCCCAGAACACUCCUUCCACUUACAAGGUUUGUUUUGCUUGUUAUAUAAAAGAUAAAAAAAAUUCUAAUUAAUACAGCAAUAUUUUAUUCAGAGUACAAAAAGGAUAACUGACUAUUCUUGACUUUGGAAAAAGAUACAUAUUGACUAUAUAAGAAAUAAAUUAUAUUUUUAAAAUUAAUAAAUGACUUGGAAACCAUUUAUUUAUUUACAGUGAAUUUAUUAUGUACGGAAAAUAUUCCUACACAGAACUAUAUGUACAAUGAACAUGUAUUUAAUAUUUUAAAGAGCAAUUAAAGUAUCUAUAGAUUAUAUACAUGCUCAAAGCAAUGUUUUUUUCACUCUCACUCUAUAUUUAUUAAACUGGAUUUAUAUAGGAACUUUCAAAUUCCUCUAGUUGAAACAUAAAGAGAAAUUAUCAGGCAUAUUUCCCAUAUAUUUAAUACGUUCAGAUUUGUAAAAUGCUUCUGAUUUGUAAAAUGCUUCUCAAAUGACAUAUAUAAGCUCAGCACCAUAAAUGAGAUUUUGACUUGAAUUCGUUACAGUAAAGU